GGGUCGGUAUCCAAGUGGUUGAAGGAAGCUGGCUGUAAACCAGUUGCCAUUGUGCUGAACACCGCAGGUUCGAAUCCUGCCCGGCCCACAA
rnacentral:tRNA from 1 species